rnacentral:rRNA from 1 species
UACGGAGGGUGCGAGCGUUGUUCGGAAUCACUGGGCGUAAAGCGCGUGUAGGCGGCCAGAUAAGUCCGCUGUGAAAUCUCGAGGCUCAACUUCGAGCUGUCGGUGGAAACUGUCUGGCUAGAGUCCGGAAGAGGAGAAUGGAAUUCCUGGUGUAGCGGUGAAAUGCGCAGAUAUCAGGAAGAACACCCGUGGCGAAGGCGGUUCUCUGGGACGGUACUGACGCUGAGACGCGAAAGCGUGGGGAGCGAACAGG